rnacentral:rRNA from 1 species
UACGGAGGGAGCUAGCGUUAUUCGGAAUUACUGGGCGUAAAGCGCACGUAGGCGGCUUUGUAAGUUAGAGGUGGAAAGCCUGGAGCUCAACUCCAGAACUGGCCUUUAAGACUGCAUCGCUUGAAUCCAGGAGAGGUGAGUGGAAUUCCGAGUGUAGAGGUGAAAUCGUAGAUAUUCGGAAGAACACCAGUGGCGAAGGCGGCUCACUGGACUGGUAUUGACGCUGAGGUGCGAAAGCGUGGGGAGCAACAGGAUU